GACUGGCUAGCUCAGUUGGUAGGACAUGGGACUCUUGAGUUCAGGAUCGUGGGUUUGAGCCCCAUGCUGGGUG